UACGUAGGGGGCUAGCGUUGUCCGGAAUCAUUGGGCGUAAAGCGCGUGUAGGCGGUCCGGUAAGUCCGCUGUGAAAGUCGGGGGCUCAACCCUCGGAUGCCGGUGGAUACUGUCGGGCUUGAGUACGGAAGAGGCGAGUGGAAUUCCUGGUGUAGCGGUGAAAUGCGUAGAUAUCUGGAGGAACACCGGUGGCGAAGGCGGCAUCCUGGACCAACACUGGCGCUGAGUGAGCGAAAGCCAGGGGAGCAAACGGG
rnacentral:rRNA from 1 species